GACGAACGCUGGCGGCGUGCUUAACACAUGCAAGUCGAGGGGUAACGAGAGGAAAGCUUGCUUUCCUUGUCGACGACCGGCGCACGGGUGAGUAACGCGUAUCCAACCUGCCCCCAACUAGGGAAUAACCUUGCGAAAGUAAGACUAAUACCCUAUAAUUUCCUCAGAUGUCAUCUGACGAGGAAUAAAGAUUUAUCGGUUGUGGAUGGGGAUGCGUCUGAUUAGCUUGUUGGCGGGGUAACGGCCCACCAAGGCAACGAUCAGUAGGGGUUCUGGGAGGAAGGUCCCCAGCAUUGGAACUGAGACACGGUCCAAACUCCUACGGGAGGCAGCAGUGAGGAAUAUUGGUCAAUGGGCGGAAGCCUGAACCAGCCAAGUAGCGUGCAGGAUGACGGCCCUAUGGGUUGUAAACUGCUUUUAUACAGGAAUAAAGUUAGCCACGUGUGGUUAUUUGUAGGUACUGUAUGAAUAAGGACCGGCUAAUUCCGUGCCAGCAGCCGCCGUAA
rnacentral:rRNA from 1 species